rnacentral:lncRNA from 1 species
CUCAGCUAUGUGGACUUCUCUUCCUCAAGGCUAAUCUGUCUCCUGUCACUGUUGAAUGUCCAACCAGACAUUUGUAGUAAGCAGACAUGAGCCUUCGGUGUGGGGCCCAACUCUCCAGACACCAGAUAGGUAUUUGGUGUCAAACUGAUUAUAUAUUUUCAUGUAAGAGGCACUUAUUUGGGAUUUGAAUUUGCUUUUCCUGACUACCAUACACCUGCAAACAGCACAAUCUAUAGAUUUACUGAACACUUGACUCAUUUGAGACUUCUCUUUCAAAACAUUGCUUUUAAUAUCUUUUUUUUUUAGUAAGAUAAGGCAAUGUACUGUUGCUCAUGGGAUCAAUGGUCGCAUAGGUACCAGUGUUGUGAAACUUGAUUCUUUUUACAAGUCUGAAGAAAUUGAUAUUGACAAGGAUGGAGCAUGAGAACAACUGCCUUCGUCUUUUUUUUUUUUUUUUUUUUUUUUAUUCAUGAGACACACGCAGAGAGAGAGAGAGAGAGAUUGAGAGAGAGGCAGACACAGGAAGAGAGAGAAGCAGGCUCCAUGUAGGGAGCCCAAUGCAGCACUCAAUCCCGGGAUUCUAGGAUCACACCCUGGGCUGAAGGCAGGCACUAAACCACUGAGCCACCCAGGGAUCCCCGUGCCUUUGUCUUUUAAGAUAAAGUCCUUGGGGCACCUGGGUAGUGCUAUCAGUUAAGUGUCCGACUCUUGGUGUCGGCUCAGAUCAUGUUCUCAGGGUCGUGAGAUCGAGCCCCAUGUUGGGCUCCACACUCAGUGGGGAGUCUUCUUGGGAUUCUCUCUCUCUCUCCCUCUGUCCCUCCUCCCUCAAAUAAAUAAAUAAAUCCUUUUUUUUUUUUUUGAAAAGUAAGAUAAAUUCCUCAGGUAAAUAAUCAUGAAUGAUUUUUCAUGUGACCCACAUUUCUCAAGACAAAUUUCUGAAGACAGUCUUGGUCACAUACCUGAAUGGAAACCUCCAGGAAGAGGAAUAUGGCUUACUUGACUCCUGUGACUUCUGAACCAGAAGAUUCCAUUGGAGGACUCCGGGUACACUUCAAGGUCCUGCCUGAAGAAGCAUUAGAGGAGGAAGAAGCUGAGUAGGGCAAGGUAAGGUGUUUCCCCUAAGCAGCCAGAAGCAGCAUAAUCAUGAGGAGGUGACUAAAUUAUGAUGGAAGAGGGGUGCCAAUGACAAGGAAAAAGUUAUGAAAGAGGUCAGUUACAGGGAAAGGGGAAAUAAAUCUGAAAGCAGAAGGUUUGGGGGAAUGCUUUUGGCACAGAGUUCAUACAGAAUGCCAAAGAUAUGGGAACAGCCCAGAAAAUGUUGAGGCCACACAAGACCAGGCACUAGUCAGAAAUCUUUUGGGCCAAAGCAGGGAGGCUGA